CCUACGGGUGGCAGCAGUGGGGAAUAUUGGGCAAUGGGCGCAAGCCUGACCCAGCAACGCCGCGUGAGGGAAGAAGGCUUUCGGGUUGUAAACUUCUUUUAUCAGGGACGAAGCAAGUGACGGUACCUGAUGAAUAAGCCACGGCUAACUACGGGCCAGCAGCCGCGGUAAUACGUAGGUGGGAGGUGUUAGCCGGAUUUACUGGGUGUAAAGGGCGUGUAGGCGGGAGUGCAAGUCAGAUGUGAAAACUAUGGGCUCAACCCACAGUCUGUAUUUGAAACUGUACUUCUUGAGUGCUGGAGAGGCAAUCGGAAUGCCGUGUGUAGCGGUGAAAUGCGUAGAUAUAAGGAGGAACACCGGUGGCGAAGGCGGAUUGCUGGCCAGUAACUGACGCUGAGGCGCGAAAGCGUGGGGAGCAAACAGGAUUAGAUACCCGGGUAGUC
rnacentral:rRNA from 1 species